CACAGUUCACACCUCGCACCCGCCGCGUCCGUCAUGUACUCCGGCGACUCUCACCGCCGGCCCGAUGGCCCCUCCGCCACGCCGGCCCUCCACCUGUCGGCCGCCGCCGUGCCCCCACCGCGUGUCCUCGCUUCCUCCUCCUCCUGCCCCAACACCUCGUCUAUCCGCUCCGCCUCUCACAGUCUCCCUCCUCGCGCUCUCCUUGCUCUCCGCGUCGCCGUCCUCCUCCCGCCAUGGCGCCUCCCUCUCCCUCUCCCGCGCAUCCUCCUCCUAGCACGCUUCCGCAUUCUCGUGCCUCUCCCACGCUUCAUCCCUCUCCUCCUUCCCACCUGCCGCCACCGCCGCCGCUGCCACGCUUCAGCUUCUCGCCUCCUCUUACUUCCGCCUCCGCCGCCGUUCUUCACCUGUCACUACCCGCCAGAAUCACUCCGGACCAAUAUUCGGCUUCCCACGUACCGUUCUCUCUUGUCAAGAUUCAUCAGCUCACCCUUGCCCGCGUCCUGUUCGAUGAAAUGUCGCAGUCUUUGUUCUUAUGAAAUGCUGCGUCUGGUGUUCGCCUAGCCCUUCGCGCCUCGCUACUUUCCUGGUCCUAGACCCUGUGGCUGGAUCACCCUCCGCCGCUCCCACGUGGGCCUCACCUUGUCCGCGACUCAUCCGGCAUGGUCCAGGUGACAGCUCUGCCAGAAUACCUUCAAGCUUACUCUAUUGUGAAUAGGCUAAGAGUGGAACAAGUCGAAAAGAACUGGCCCACAGUGGUUGCUGUCAAGGGGGUGGUGCGGCUGCGCCCGACAGAAGCCAUCAAUGAAGACUGGGGCUAUAGAGGUACUGACUGGUCUUUAUGGUACUUUAUUUAAAUGUCUUCUGGUAGGUAAGAGGUAGAGUUGACUCAGCCUGGUUAAAAUUUCAAAUUUACACUAUCUAGUGUACAAAUGCUACUCUACCUUCUGCUGUUACAGAUCAGCAGUAGGGUGUACGUUUUCUCCAAAAGCUGUAUGUGAGAUCACUCUGUUAUGUACCUGUUCCAAGUUGUAAGACCGCAGGACACUGUUACUUCCAUUGAUCAUAACAGAAAUGGGAUCAGGAUCUCACUUCAAAAAAUGAACUAUUUUAUCUUUGAACCAUAUGCUACUCUUUGAUUUGGUUCAGAAUAUUAAUCAGAAUGUUCAGUAGUAGAACAUAGAAAGAUAAUAAUACAUUUAUUUUUGUUAUAGUUCUUUUUUGGGUUAGUUGAAGCUGCUUGUCAUUGUGACCUGAACCCAAAAUAAAGAGUAUUAAUUGAAGCUGUUUGUUGUGGCCUGAACCCAAAAUAAAGCGUAAUUAGCUCAGUUGGGAUGAGUAUAUGACUCUGAAUACACGUUUAGCACAUCAAACUGGUUGGAGAACACUGAGAACUCAUGCUUCCCUUUUUCGCAUUGUUGUCAUUCAUUUCUAUCACCUUCAUGUGUCUAGAAAUUACUAAUUGGAUAUUGCCACAAACUAACUACCCACGGUGUGUGUAUGCUACCUUCCUUUGGGACUCUAGGAACAUUUCCAACUUCGCUGUGAAACUGACGUUGCUACCUCUUGAGAUGAUACACUCACACCACCUUGUCAAUUGUUUUGGAAACUGUGUUUAAGGAGUAAUACAUUUUCAUCUACUAGAAUAUGAGCACUCGAAAUUCUGUAAUACGCAACAAGUGACAUGUUUAUUAGCUUAUUCUGUUGUACUGUAGCUGAACACCUUUUUUCUUGCCUCGCCUUUUUCCAUUUCCAUUCUACUUCUGUAUUCCCUACCAUGUCUAUUUCUCACCUUUUCUUUCCGUACUUCAUAGUUAUAUGUACUUUUCUGGACAAAGAGAAAAAUGAACUUUCUGAAAAGGGAACACAAAUAGUAGACCACUGAUUUUUUUGAUAUAUUGACUGGAUAUUCUUCCUAUAGUUGACAAUAGCAUAUCAUAGUAAAUUUCACCUAUAUUUGCAAGAACAGAUUGGUACUAUCCAAUGAUCAAAAGAGUGGUGUCUCACGACAGUCCUUUUAACUCUUGUAUAGUUGUAUGAAGUACCAGAAUAGUGAUGUUUGGUUUUAUAAUCCAAAAAGGAGUGAGAGAUGGAAGCAAGCACUUGAAUCUGAGAAAGGAAUGAUGAUCAAGACAACACUAGUUGUCUGGUUCUGAGAAUUUAUCGUUGGGAGAGGAAAUUGAUGAGACUGAAAUGUCAUGCUUGGAGUGAAGAACCCGAUGAAUCUCCUGCAAAGAAAAAGUCAAUGGAUGUUAAACAAGUGGAGAGGAAAUCUGGGUCUAAGGUAAAGGAAAAGGAUUUGCAAUAAGGAUGAUGGGAAAGAAGGCUAGAUCAAUAAUUCUCUUGCUUUGAGCAAGAAUCAACUUGCUAAGGCAUCCAAGGAAAGCAAAGCUACAAGAUCUGGAAUACCUAUCAUAGUCAGUGCUACUAUUUAUUAUCACAACAUUUUCUUACAUCUUCAGUAGGCUUAUGCAAACAAUCUAUUGAUCUUCUGCUCCAGAUCAUAGAAAUACCAAUCUAAUUUUGCUCUUUGUUUAUGCUUUAAUAUUAUUCCCAUCCGAACAAGUAAAAAAAAAUAUUAGAUCAAACUACAGUUGGGUCAAGGGUAUGUUUCGAAAAUAGGGGUCACAGAACACUGCACAGAAAAUAAAGACCAUGCGUAAGUACUUUUCUGAAAACUUGUUUCAUUUGAAGGCUUACUUUUGUUAGUCAGAGUUCACUUAAUUUAUGCAGAUAAUUGUGCCCCGACUUUUCUAUGGCUUCUAGUACAAGAAAGGAAUAUAAUUGAUAAAUGCUUCCACUGUCUAAAAAGAGAAGGGAAUCAUUAUCCGAAAAAGAGAAAGGAAUAAAGACCCUAGCUUGCAACACCUGCUAGGUAUCUCGAUGAUAUCUGAGCACAUGUAUAUAAUGAUGACACGGAUGAAAUCAUCCCACCUAUAACAUUCAAUAGAUAUGAUCAUACGAUAGGCACACAUAUAUCCAGUUAAAGGCGGUGCAUGUGAGCUGGGUGCUCAAUACGGAAUUACUGGAGUAUUCAGUGUCUCAGCCAACAGGUAUGCCUUGAUACACCAAUUCCAAUUUUCACAUAUAUUAUAUAUUGCUAGGUUUUUGCUGAGCAUCAUGUAAUUAGAGGCUAUGUUUGCAUUGCAAGGUCAUGCUGAUACUACUAAAUUAAGGCGCCGUUUGGAUUAAGAGGUAGAUAGGAAGAGUAGAAAUGUGGGAUUGGGAUAUAUCCGUUCAACUGCAUAUAUGUAUGUCCAAACAGCUCCUAAAAAUACUGCGAGAAUUUCCCAGAAAAAUAAAUUUUGGAUAAAAAUCUAAAAAAUAUGCUAGAUGGAAGACAUCAUCUACCUACCUACCCACAUCAUGCAUAUGGCACGGUCAACAUACUUAAUAUGUAGUUUGACGAAAGUACUUUAGUCAUGAGUCAUGAAUUCUCUGCUAUCUGAUGUUAUUUUUCUUGCUUAAUUAGUCUAGCUAGCUAGAUGCAGAACAUACCCUGAUUGCAUCUAAUUAUCAGAAACCGCUGAUGUCCAUGCAGUUGCAAAUCAAGAGAGAACCGGCUACCUAGGAUUGCCAAGAGUACGUAAGUCGAUCCAUGGCAGAAGCUUCAAAGUUCAUUACCAUUAUGCAACUAUUCAGCGACUGGGAAAUCCAUGUAUUGAUUCUCUUGAGCUUUUGCCUGCAACUAUUCCUCUUCUUCUCCGGCAGCCUUCGGCGCCGCCACGACCAUAGGCUGCUUAGGAUCAUGACAUGGUUGUCUUACCUAUCAGCUGAUUUCACUGCAGCAUAUGCUCUGGGCCUUCUUUCACGCGAGGUUGCUACCACUUCCACCACAGACAACAAUGAUGAUCAUCAUAAAUCAAUGCCCAGUGAAACCCCUCAUCAGCUCAUGGUAUUGUGGGCACCAUUCCUUCUUAUCCAUCUUGGAGGACAGGACACUGUGACUGCUUUUUCAUUGGAGGACAAUGAGCUGUGGUUGAGGCACCUGCUGAUGCUGCUAGGCCAAGCAUGCCUAGUUGUCUAUGUGCUGUGGAAAUGGGUAACAUUGUCAUACUACCAACUUUUAAUCUCGGCUGCAUUGUUGUUUGUUGAUGGGAUCAUCAAGUAUGGGGAGAGGAUUUGGGCACUCAAGUUGGGGAGCCAGGAAGGCCUCAGGAGUUCCACUAGCACAGAAGCUAAGAAAGCAUCCCUUCAAUUUGGACUAGGAUUCAGUACUGAAAGAAAAGAGCAGACCUAUCAAGAAAUUGUUAGGUAUGCUCUUCUCAGGGAGCGAGGCGUGCGGGAUAUAUUCGCUGGACGGAAACUCUUCGACAUGGACGAUUUAACUCGCGAGUACUUUCUGUAUCAAUACGAUCGGGAGGUUCCGAGAGGGGAUGCACAACUGAAUUUCAAAAGGGCGGAGAUCGAGCUUAGCAUAAUGUAUGACAGCCUCUACACAAAAUCUCGGGUGAUUCAAACAAGGUCUGGCGCCAUCCUUCGGUGUGUCUCCUUCGCCUCCAUAGUGAUUGCCUUUGUGCUCUAUGUCAAGAUGAUGGUGAGUAGUAGUGCCUAUGCUGAGCAAACAACAUCAGUAUACAACAAUGUCGACUACAGAAGUAGAGUUGAUGCUGCCAUCACCUACAUAUUAUUCAUUGGAGCAGUUUGCUUGGAAGCUUGCUCAUUCUUCGUUGUGAUGAUCAUGUCACCAUUGGAGUGGCCAUUGUUGGAAGCUCGAGCUGGAUGGUGUCGUGUGCUGCUCACUCGAGUGGCCUGGCCUAUGUUCAUGAGGAUCCAACCAGAGACCAAGCCAUGGUGGUCAAACUCAAUGGGACAGUACAACUUCUUGAGCUCCUGCUGCAACAAAAGCAGAAGCACGGACAGAAGGUGGAGUAGCACUGUCAUCAUGUCAAAGAUGGCAGGCGUAUUUGGAGCUAGUGAACUGUGGAACAAGAUAAGAAACACCAAGCAUGCCCACAUCACAAGGGAGAUGAAGGAGCUUAUCCACGAAACAAUAGGUCAUGACAGGGGGUGGCUUCCUGAGCGCAUCUGCGUUCCAAGUGCUUAUAGAUCACUACUUGUCCUCCCCUUCGAGAAGGCCUUGCUGUCGCUACACAUUUGGACAGAUGUGGUGAUGCACAAGGUGGCGAAGUCGAUGAUGGUGAGCAGCAGUGGUCGGCUCCCGAUUGACCUGGCCGUCCAAGAGCAAGACCAAGAGGCAGCACAGCGGUGGCGGCGUCUUAUGGAUAACUGCAAGAGGCUAUCUGAGUACAUGUUGUACCUGCUGCUGGCGCAACCUGCCAUGCUACCCGUGAGCAGCAACGUGCAGGAUUUUAUGGUAGCAGCGGCUGCCUCAGACUGGUCCAGGGGUGCCUCCUCCUCCAACAGCAAGGUGCAGGAUUUUAUGGUAGCAGCCGAUGUUGCCUCCAGAAAGGAGAAUUUUCUUGAGUGGUUGGCUUCAGAAUAUGAGGGUCCUGGUCUGGGCUUCUGGAAGGAGCAAACGGUGGUGCUAGAAAAUCAACAGGGCAUCAAUGCCGAGCUGGCGAUACUAGAGAAGGUGUGGGUGCGGAUGCUCGUCUAUGCAGCUGGAAAGUCCCGUCCGGAAGAGCAUGCCCGGCACCUGAGCACCGGGGGAGAGCUCAUUACUUUCGUUUGGCUGCUGAUGGCGCAUCGGCAUACUGGUGACGUGGAGCGCAGUAUCAGCCUUAUCAAAGAUGAUUUCAGCGCAGGACAUCUUUUUGAGCUAACUACUGCUAGCAUACCAUACUGUAGGCAAAUUGAUAUGGAGGAGUCAAUUACUACUUGACUUAAUUGAUUGCUUCCAUGCUGGUGUGGUGUGGUGUGGUGGGUAAACUCAGUCUAUUUUAUCUGAUAUUUGUUCAUCAAUUUUGUAUUGUAUCUCUGGUUAUAAAAACGAUUACCUUUACCAUUUCUUGUUUAAAUGCAUGCCAGCAUGUAUGAUUGAUUUGUGCAUUGAGAUCACGGCGCAUUCACACUGAGCUAGUUUUGCUCCAACAGGAGAUUCAAGGAGUGGUCUGAACAAUAUUGAUGCACUGCACAUCUAUUUCAGCACAGACUCCGGUCGUCAGUUAUGGAGACAUUGCUAUAUGUGCAAAGGGUAGUCAUGACAUUGCUUGCUUCAUCAUCGCAAUAGCAACUGUCCAUGGGAGAUGUCAGUAUUACUGUUGUUGGAUAGGAAGGCGUCAGUGCUGGACUGCUGCAUGUACGACCAGCUGUUGGAACAAAUAUGGAGCGAAAAAUUGCCAAGGAAAAUAUGCAUGUUCCUUUGGAGAUUAGGAUAGCCUUUCCACUUCCCAACCUAAAGUGCAGAGGAAUUGAUAUGGAUAGACUUGACGAGAGCGACAGUCAUAUCUUCCUAAAAUGCAAAUAUACGAAAACAACGUGGAGAGAAACCAACCUGGUGCUUGUCAGUGACAUCUUACUUGGCUGUGUUGGUGUUGCCGUAAGGAUUUGAUUUCCGAGCAUAAGCUGCAUGUUUCUCCUUUACAGACUGUUCACAAAGCCGCUGGGUUGCUCUUGCAGUGGCUGCCUUUCUUAUACAGGCAAAGCGUAAAGACACGCUGAUAGUGUUGAAAGGAAAGCUUCAGUCUUUAUGUUUUCUGAGUCUUUGUUGCGCCUGCGUGCGCCAGAGGCGGAUGCUUGAUGCAAGUGUGCCUGGGAACGCUGUAUGUGUCUUGGAUGUUUGGUUGUCUCGGGCCUUCAUUGGUCUGUACGUGCUUUGGGAAUUGUGGAUUCUUUGCUGCAGCCAGAGGCCAAU